GACGAACGCUGGCGGCGUGCUUAACACAUGCAAGUCGAACGGAAAGGCCCUGCUUUUGUGGGGUGCUCGAGUGGCGAACGGGUGAGUAACACGUGAGUAACCUGCCCUUGACUUUGGGAUAACUUCAGGAAACUGGGGCUAAUACCGGAUAGGAGCUCCCGCUGCAUGGUGGGGGUUGGAAAGUUUCGGCGGUUGGGGAUGGACUCGCGGCUUAUCAGCUUGUUGGUGGGGUAGUGGCUUACCAAGGCUUUGACGGGUAGCCGGCCUGAGAGGGUGACCGGGCACAUUGGGACUGGGAGAGGACCCAGAGUCCAACGGGAGGCAGCAGUGGAGAAUAUUGCACACUGGGCGGAAGCCUGAUGCAGCAACGCCGCGUGCGGGAUGACGGCCUUCGGGUUGUAAACCGCUUUCGCCUGUGACGAAGCGUGAGUGACGGUAAUGGGUAAAGAAGCACCGGCUAACUACGUG
rnacentral:rRNA from 1 species